rnacentral:tRNA from 1 species
GCCGGGAUAGCUCAGUGGAAGAGCAGAGCUUCCGUAAAGCUAAGGUCGAGAGUUCGAAUCUCUCUCCCGGCU